rnacentral:rRNA from 1 species
GGAGUUUGGACCGUCUCUCAGUUCCAAUGUGGCCGAUCACCCUCUCAGGUCGGCUACCGAUCGUCGACUUGGUGGGCCGUUACCUCACCAACUAUCUAAUCGGACGCGAGCUCACCCCAAACCGGAUUGCUCCUUUUACCUCAGGAAGAUGCCUCCCCGUGGUCUUAUGCGGUAUUAGCACCUGUUUCCAGCUGCUAUCCCCCAGUGUGAGGCAGGUUAUCCACGCGUUACUCACCCGUCCGCCACUAAGUUAAGUUC